UACGAAGGGGGCUAGCGUUGCUCGGAAUCACUGGGCGUAAAGGGUGCGUAGGCGGGUCUUUAAGUCAGGGGUGAAAUCCUGGAGCUCAACUCCAGAACUGCCUUUGAUACUGAGAAGCUUGAGUCCGGGAGAGGUGAGUGGAACUGCGAGUGUAGAGGUGAAAUUCGUAGAUAUUCGCAAGAACACCAGUGGCGAAGGCGGCUCACUGGCCCGAUACUGACGCUGAGGCACGAAAGCGUGGGGAGCAAACAGG
rnacentral:rRNA from 1 species